UACGGGGGGGGCAAGCGUUGUUCGGAAUUACUGGGCGUAAAGGGCUCGUAGGCGGCCAACUAAGUCGGACGUGAAAUCCCCAGGCUCAACCUGGGAACUGCGUCCGAUACUGGAUGGCUUGAAUUCGGGAGAGGGAUGCAGAAUUCCAGGUGUAGCGGUGAAAUGCGUAGAUAUCUGGAGGAAUACCGGUGGCGAAGGCGGCAUCCUGGACCGACAUUGACGCUGAUGAGCGAAAGCUAGGGGAGUAAACAGG
rnacentral:rRNA from 1 species